AAAGGGUCACGCUCUGAUUCAAUGGAAAAGUCAUGAAAUAGUCCUACGUGAUUACUUCUUAUCAGUGCUUGACUUGUACUCAUUUUGGUUCAUGGUACUGUUUUAUAUUUAGGUGUAGGAUCUCCUCAAUACUUUUGAGCUAAUAUUCGAUAAGUGGAACAGAAGCUCAAGCAGUAGAACAUUUGAGGUGCUGGUACUCGGCUCCGGUGAGCUCCUGCCCAAGUUGAACAGUGCUUCCUGUCCCUUGCACAAAUAGCCUACAGCUCUGUCUGUCCUGAGCGCACUGGAGCAGGAAACUGAGGGCCCAGAAUAUUUUAUAUUUUAUGCAAUGUUGCAAAUUUGCUACAGCAAGCUUCAGGCCAGACCCACGUUAAAAUAGUUGAUAGUGUUUCAAGUUCGUUGCGGACAGGCCAUGUGUAGCCGAUGUGAUUUAUAGGAUAUUUAUUUUUAUCAGGAUAUUUUCUACCUGCAGGCCUCAACCUUUUUAUUUGUUGGCUUUAUGUAGGCUAUUUUUACAUAGUUGGCAAGUUAGUUUUUGGAUUAACCAGGACCUCCCACUGCAUCACAGUGCUAGCUGUGUCACUAGAGAUUCUGGGUUUGAGUCCAGGCUCUGUCGCAGCUGGCCGUGACCGGGAGACACUGGGUGGUGCAUGAUUGGCCCAGCGUCGUUAGGGGAAGGUUUGGUCGGCAGGGAUGUCCUUGUCCAAUAGCGACUCCUGUGGCGGGCCGGGUGCAGUUCACGCUGACUCGGUCACCAGGUGUAUGGUGUUUCGUCCGACACAUUGGUGCAACUGGCCUCCUUGUGUCAAGAAGCAGUGCGACUUGGGUUGUAUUUCAGAGGACGCAUGGCUCUCGACCUUCGCCUCUCCCGAGUUCGUACGGGAGUUGCAGCGAUGAGACAAAACUGUAACUCCCAAUUGGUAUCGAAAAGGGGUUAAAAAUAAAUUAAAUAUUAAGACUUGAUUAACCCCAUGACAAUGAUUUUGCGACUUAAAAACAUAAAUUAAACUUUCACAAAUGUGCAUAUGAACGCCAUAACUGGCACGCAGAUUGGUAGAAAUGGUAAGAUAAAUUGGUAUUCAAAAUGAGAGGUUGCCGACUCCUCGUAGCCGAUUACCGGCAACUUCAGGAGAGGAAUGGUAGAAUCUGCAAAAGCCAGCAGGAGCGAGAGGAGAAUAGUUUGUUCAGGUUGUGUUUAUUUAAAAAAAAUGUAUAUAUAGAUUUCUGGCAUCCUCUUGAGGCAUUUGUCUUAUUUCAUCAAACCAAAGCUUAGAGCAUCAGACAAGCUCAAUCCAGAUAUUUGAUUUGAUUAGAACACUAUAUAUAUGGAAAAAUACAUUUCAAAAUUCCGACCAAUCGUGUGGUUGACAGAACUGACAUUUACUCCUGACCUGUUGCACACUACUACCACUAAUUAUUAUUUGACCCUGCUGGUCAUCUAUGAAUGUUUGUUCUUCAAGAUGUUCAAUCUGGCCUUAAUGGCCAUGUACUCUUAGAGAUGAAACGGUAUGAAAAUGUCAUCACGAUUAUAGAUACCAAAAUAAUCUGCAGGAUUGUUAAAGUGCUGGAAUUGUUUGAAAAGUACUGACACAGUUUUAUAUUGAAAACCAACUAACAAAAUCAGCAGCACUUUUUGUGUGUAAAAAAAAACAUUAAAGUUGGCACCAUGUGGCCAUGAAAGGUAAAAGUUUAUUUAGUGCAGGUUUUAAUGAACACAACCUUAAGUAAGCAAAUCAAAUGUGUAUAUAAAAGCAACACAAGUAAAGCAAUGUGCAUGUAAGAACAAUACAACCAUAUGUAAACACAUCCAAUGUGCAGGUGUUGACAUUAAAAUAACACAAAAUAUAUAAUCAAAUCAACAGCACUGAUUGUAUGCAUGUUCUCUCCUUCAUGAGGAAGUCAGGUGCUGCUGGCCUAACAUCCUGUAUGUAUCCAUGUUCUCUCCUUCAUGAGGAAGUCAGGUGCUGCUGGCCUAACAUCCUGUAUGUAUGCAUGUUCUCUCCUUCAUGAGGAAGUCAGGUGCUGCUGGCCUAACAUCCUGUAUGUAUGCAUGUUCUCUCCUUCAUGAGGAAGUCAGGUGCUGCUGGCCUAACAUCCUGUAUGUAUGCAUGUUCUCUCCUUCAUGAGGAAGUCAGGUGCUGCUGGCCUAACAUCCUGUAUGUAUGCAUGUUCUCUCCUUCAUGAGGAAGUCAGGUGCUGCUGGCCUAACAUCCUGUAUGUAUGCAUGUUCUCUCCUUCAUGAGGAAGUCAGGUGCUGCUGGCCUAACAUCCUGUAUGUAUGCAUGUUCUCUCCUUCAUGAGGAAGUCAGGUGCUGCUGGUCUAACAUCCUGUAUGUAUGCAUGUUCUCUCCUUCAUGAGGAAGUCAGGUGCUGCUGGCCUAACAUCCUGUAUGUAUGCAUGUUCUCUCCUUCAUGAGGAAGUCAGGUGCUGCUGGCCUAACAUCCUGUAUGUAUGCAUGUUCUCUCCUUCAUGAGGAAGUCAGGUGCUGCUGGCCUAACAUCCUGUAUGUAUGCAUGUUCUCUCCUUCAUGAGGAAGUCAGGUGCUGCUGGCCUAACAUCCUGUAUGUAUGCAUGUUCUCUCCUUCAUGAGGAAGUCAGGUGCUGCUGGCCUAACAUCCUGUAUGUAUGCAUGUUCUCUCCUUCAUGAGGAAGUCAGGUGCUGCUGGCCUAACAUCCUGUAUGUAUGCAUGUUCUCUCCUUCAUGAGGAAGUCAGGUGCUGCUGGCCUAACAUCCUGUAUGUAUGCAUGUUCUCUCCUUCAUGAGGAAGUCAGGUGCUGCUGGUCUAACAUCCUGUAUGUAUGCAUGUUCUCUCCUUCAUGAGGAAGUCAGGUGCUGCUGGUCUAACAUCCUGUAUGUAUGCAUGUUCUCUCCUUCAUGAGGAAGUCAGGUGCUGCUGGUCUAACAUCCUGUAUGUAUGCAUGUUCUCUCCUUCAUGAGGAAGUCAGGUGCUGCUGGUCUAACAUCCUGUAUGUAUGCAUGUUCUCUCCUUCAUGAGGAAGUCAGGUGCUGCUGGCCUAACAUCCUGUAUGUAUGCAUGUUCUCUCCUUCAUGAGGAAGUCAGGUGCUGCUGGCCUAACAUCCUGUAUGUAUGCAUGUUCUCUCCUUCAUGAGGAAGUCAGGUGCUGCUGGUCUAACAUCCUGUAUGUAUGCAUGUUCUCUCCUUCAUGAGGAAGUCAGGUGCUGCUGGUCUAACAUCCUGUAUGUAUGCAUGUUCUCUCCUUCAUGAGGAAGUCAGGUGCUGCUGGCCUAACAUCCUGUAUGUAUGCAUGUUCUCUCCUUCAUGAGGAAGUCAGGUGCUGCUGGCCUAACAUCCUGUAUGUAUGCAUGUUCUCUCCUUCAUGAGGAAGUCAGGUGCUGCUGGCCUAACAUCCUGUAUGUAUGCAUGUUCUCUCCUUCAUGAGGAAGUCAGGUGCUGCUGGCCUAACAUCCUGUAUGUAUGCAUGUUCUCUCCUUCAUGAGGAAGUCAGGUGCUGCUGGUCUAACAUCCUGUAUGUAUGCAUCUUUGUUCACUUGAGAUUGAAAUGUAAAAAAUGUCUGCAUAUUUACUGUCCGGUUUAAGUAAUGAUCUGCGAGGGUAGACGGAUGUGCCCGCUGGCACUGAACACUCUGAUGGCACGCUGGUUGCUGGGAUGCACAAAAGCUUCCUGGCAAGGUGAGGCAGCUCUGAUGCAGGGCCCCUCCACCACACCAGGGGAUCCUCUUCUGCUGGAAUGGGAGGCAGAGACGGGUAGAUCUCUUCUUUCACUCUGUCUGGGGUGGUCGGAAUGUUGUGAGCUUAGUGAUCUUCUGGGAAGAACUGUUUCUAGGCAGUUUGUUGCCAGUCUGGGGGUGAGGUAAUGGAUAGUGAAGAACUGUUUCUAGGCAGUUUGUUGCCAGUCUGGGGGUGAGGUAAUGGAUAGUGAAGAACUGUUUCUAGGCAGUUUGUUGCCAGUCUGGGAGUGAGGUAAUGGAUAGUGAAGAACUGUUUCUAGGCAGUUUGAUUCCAGUUGCCAGUCUGGGAGUGAGGUAAUGGAUAGUGAACUCUUUCUAGGCAGUUUGAUUCCAGUAGCCAGUAUGGGAGUGAGGUAAUGGAUAGUGAAGAACUGUUUCUAGGCAGUUUGAUUCCAGUUGCCAGUCUGGGAGUGAGGUAAUGGAUAGUGAACUCUUUCUAGGCAGUUUGAUUCCAGUAGCCAGUAUGGGAGUGAGGUAAUGGAUAGUGAAGAACUGUUUCUAGGCAGUUUGAUUCCAGUUGCCAGUCUGGGAGUGAGGUAAUGGAUAGUGAAGAACUGUUUCUAGGCAGUUUGAUUCCAGUUGCCAGUCUGGGAGUGAGGUAAUGGAUAGUGAAGAACUCUUUCUAGGCAGUUUGAUUCCAGUAGCCAAUCUGGGAGUGAGGUAAUGGAUAGUGAAGCUGAUUGUAGGGUUGAACCACCCCCCUGCUUUCACUGGUCCAAAGGUCAGUAGUUGCAGCCAAACCAUGUGCCUUUUGAGCCAAACGUUUUCCAACAUCAGCUUUAACCAGGUUGUACAGGUUUGGGAUUUCAGUCUUGGAGAAUAAAGUUUGUCACUUUGUAGUGAGGCACGGUGACCUUCAUCAGCCUCAGAAAGUCAGGCCUUUCAACAAUUUGAAAUGGCGUCAUGUCCUUUGCAAUGUAAUAUGAAAGGGCUGCAGUGAGGUCUUUAGUAUGUUUUGAUGUGGGUCUAUAAGCAGCCUGCCUUUUAAAUGCUUGCUGGAGUGUCUGUGUCACAGCUGUAGAUGAGGAUGGACCAGUAGUAUCACUGGGUUUGCCUGCUGCAUGCCCACUCUGUAAACAAGGGAAUAGCAAAUGUAUUAUUACAUUUAUUAUUAUUCACAUCUUCUGUGUUGCAUUUGAGUAUAUGCAAUGACCCCAUGCACAAUUUUGCAUAAAUACAAAUGAGUCUUAAGACGGUGAUAGUAAUUGCAAU